GACGAACGCUGGCGGCGUGCUUAACACAUGCAAGUCGAACGGAAAGGCCCUGCUUUUGUGGGGUGCUCGAGUGGCGAACGGGUGAGUAACACGUGAGUAACCUGCCCUUGACUUUGGGAUAACUUCAGGAAACUGGGGCUAAUACCGGAUAGGAGCUCCUGCUGCAUGGUGGGGGUUGGAAAGUUUCGGCGGUUGGGGAUGGACUCGCGGCUUAUCAGCUUGUUGGUGGGGUAGUGGCUUACCAAGGCUUUGACGGGUAGCCGGCCUGAGAGGGUGACCGGCCACAUUGGGACUGAGAUACGGCCCAGACUCCUACGGGAGGCAGCAGUGGAGAAUAUUGCACAGUGGGCGGAAGCCUGAUGCAGCAACGCCGCGUGCGGGAUGACGGCCUUCGGGUUGUAAACCGCUUUCGCCGGUGAUGAAGCGUGAGUGACGGUAAUGGGUAAAGAAGCACCGGCUAACUACGUG
rnacentral:rRNA from 1 species